UUUUACAGUCAGAAAAAAAAACAGAAACACACACGGGCUCUCCUCUCUCUCCCUCGCCUCCCGAUCCCAGCCGCCAGGAGGCGCCCCACCCCGCGCGACCUCGAUCCGGUGCCGCGCCGAUCUGGCGGCGGGUGCAGCGUCUUGCUCUGGUGGCGACAUGAGAAAGAGAGAUAGUGCGUGAGGGAGAGAGGAAAGAGAGGAAGAAAGGAGAAGGAGAAGGGGCACAAGGUGAGGGAGGCGGUCGCCGGCGGUGGUGGUUCCGGUGACCGGCAGGCGGGCAGGGAGACGAGCUCCUGUUGAGGUGGCGGAGCUCAGUGCGGGCUGGUUCCUCCGGAUCGAGCCUUGGCUCUCCCGAGGCAUGCGGUUGCGGGCUUGGAUCGGGGUGAUCCUUCUCCCCCGCCCUCCCCCUCCAUGGCAACGACACAAGUUGCGCAGGCAGUUGGAGAGUGCCGAUUUCGAUACGAGUGUGUCAAUCUUCACUCCGGAGCAGAUCCAAGGGAUUGUUGAGAAAUACUCCAGUUGACAUAUUUGAAGAGAUGAGAGAUUUACAUCGCAUCCAGUCUUCUCCCUCUACUAUAGCUGAUGGUUGUAUUCCACCCAUACACGAAGCAUAUAAUUACCAUCUAGCUUUACUUCAUGUAAUCUGAACUUUGCUCAGUGAAAGACUACAUGUGUACUAAUUACAUUGGCAGUGGCACCUGUUGGAACCGUCCACCUGGCUCCCGGGGCGAACAUCGCCGCCACCCCGCUGUCGAUUCCCACCCAAGCUGCUAGCCUCCUUGUGGUGGUGGUCUUCACCCUCUUUCAUAACCAUGAAGUGGAUCAUCGUUGUGACGUUGUCCAGCACUGGUGAGAAGGGUGGCCCGCGUCGAGACGUCCAAGGUUGGGUGGUCUGCAGGUCAGGCUCGUUAGGAUGGUGACUGGCAAGAUGGAGAUGAAUACAGAUGUGUCCUUCACCCUCGACAAUGACACUGGCUGCAUCAAUUUUUCAUCAGAUGGUGAGAGCGUCUCGUUGAAUUGCACACUUUCUAAUGAAGUUUCAGAUGUAUCUUAGCGGUACAAUGUUAUACUUUUGUGCUCUCAGUGCCACUGCUGGAUGUUGACUUGGUUGUGGGAUUUGUCAAAUGCCAAUCUUAAAUAGAAAUAAGUUAGGCUGGCUGUUACGACAAUGCAGGCACCAAGCAGAACUUAGUAACUGGAAAUCUGCAAGUUCUUAAUCAUCUCUGGUUUGAUAAAAUAACUAUUUGAGAGAGAGAUAUAUUACUGUAAAAUUCUUAAACUUUGCGGCAGAUGGAUUUUGCGGCUUUGGAUUUUCCUCUCUCUUGAUUUUUCAAAUUGAUGUGGCUGUAGAAACUUGAGGCUGAAUUUAUUAAUUGGUGUGGAUGCGACC